GACAGAGGGUGCAAACGUUGUUCGGAAUUACUGGGCGUAAAGCGCGUGUAGGCUGCUUCGAAAGUCGGAUGUGAAAGCCCUGGGCUCAAACCUAGGAAGUGCCAUUCGAAACUUCGAGCGUGGAGUCCUGGAGAGGAAGGCGGAAUUCUCGGUGUAGAGGUGAAAUUCGUAGAUAUCGAGAGGAACACCGGUGGCGAAGGCGGCCUUCUGGACAGUGACUGACGCUGAGACGCGAAAGCGUGGGGAGCAAACAGGG
rnacentral:rRNA from 1 species